UACGGGAGGCAGCAGGGGGGAAUAUUGCACAAUGGGCGCAAGCCUGAUGCAGCCAUGCCGCGUGUAUGAAGAAGGCCUUCGGGUUGUAAAGUACUUUCAGUCGUGAGGAAGGUGUUAAGGUUAAUAACCUUAGCAAUUGACGUUAGCGACAGAAGAAGCACCGGCUAACUCCGUGCCAGCAGCCGCGGUAAUACGGAGGGUGCGAGCGUUAAUCGGAAUUACUGGGCGUAAAGGGCACGCAGGCGGUUAAUUAAGUUGGAUGUGAAAUCCCCGGGCUUAACCUGGGAAUGGCAUUCAAGACUGGUUAGCUAGAGUCUUGUAGAGGGGGUAGAAUUCCAUGUGUAGCGGUGAAAUGCGUAGAGAUGUGGAGGAAUACCGGUGGCGAAGGCGGCCCCGUGGACAAAGACUGACGCUCAUGUGCGAAAGCGUGGGGAGCAAACAGGGAUUAGAUACC
rnacentral:rRNA from 1 species